UUGUGAUCUUGAGGAGUACUCCUGUAUGAGUUUAGAGAAGAAAGAAUCUGACCGUUUUAGGAGCUUUAUUGGCGUGUCAAAUUCUGCAAUUCUUCCUGUUCAAACACAAGUUCUUUAGUCUCUGAUUCAAUAUGUUCUUGAAUCAACGGAGGCUGUUGCUUCAUCCAAUACCAGAAUGCUACUCUUUUUCAGCAAGGCUCUUCCAAGACAGAAUAACUGUCUUUGGCCCACGCUCCAAUUUUCUCCGUUUUCGACCACUGUUAAGAAGCAGGCAUGUUUGUUAUGGUAAUUUUCUAUUUUUCAAAUGCAUACAAUCAACUGUUUCCAUGGUUCAUCUUGAUGAACCUGACCUGUAGAAUCCAGCUUCUCUUCCUUAUCACGCACGAGAUGACCUAGCUGACAUUUGUUUAGAGCCUGAAAAGUUUGGAAGUUAUUUCAGUGUACAAGAUGGAAACAUUGAUAACGAAGACUCUUUUCUUGAGUAUAUUUAUAUUUAGAUAUUACAAAUGAUCAUUAUGAAACUUAAUAUCGAAAGUUUUGAGUGUUACUCUUUCGGCGUAAUAUGCCACCCCUUGAAAGAUGUUGUGGAUUCUUAGUUCAAUUCAUAGGAUAGAAAUAUUACCUCCCAUAUCUCAUAGUCAGAAUAUUGCUUUAGAGGAUCUAGGUUUGCUCUAAUUGUUCCCUCAAACAUUGCUGGGUCCUGCGGUAUGAUGCUAAGUCUUGAUCUUAAGUCAUGAAGGCCUAUCUUGCAAAUGUCUACGUUGUCGAUAAUGAUGCUGCCCUCUCUGGGUUCAACAAUCCUGAAAAUUGCUUGUAUGAGGGUUGAUUUCCCACUCCCUGUCCUUCCUACAACACCAACUUUCUUCCUUCCAGGAAAUGUGCAGUUAAUGUUUUUUAGGACAGAUGGAAGAUGUUCAGCGUAACGAAUCUGCAAGGCAGUCAAGUCAAUGCCAUGCGUCAGUAAAUGCAAGGCAAACUUAGGAGGAUAGGUUGAGAAUUUCUUUUGUCAGAUUUGUCAAACUACUAUGUUGUUACUUCUUGGAGUUUUGUUUAUGAUGGAUGGAUCAUAAAAAAAUAUUUGGUGUUGAAGAUUUUGAACUUUUUUUGUCAUGGUUUUAACUUUGCCAUAAAGGCUUACCUGCAAAUUUUUGAAGCAAAUUGUUCCAACCUCUGGCCAGUUGUUUGGUGGUCUGCUCUCUUCAAUCACGAGAGGUGCUUCACUUGUUAUGUUCGAGUACUGAAGGAUUCUUUCUACAGAUAUCAUCUUGUUUUCUGCAUUGCAUAUGUUCCAUAUGACUGAAGCUUGCAAAACAUUCAAAUUGAUCCCGUAUGUUACUGCCAACCCUGCAAUACCUGUUAAAAGCCCAAUUCCAGGUAAGUUUUCUCACUAGAUUCUCUUAUUUCAAUAUCUUCUGAAUAAACUAUUACUUGCAUGAAAAGGGGCAACCCAUUGGUUAAGCGUCUACUCCAAUGCCUUCUUGUUAUGGAGGUAUCUAUCCUAAUUUAUCCUUCUCUCGGAAAUUUUCAAACCCCAAGUCUAAGAUAGCAAAUGAUUUUUAAUAAAUUUACAUUCAAGGGAAGAUUUGCUGUAGAUAGUUUCUAGAAAGAUUACUGAUACUUACUUGGAUUAAUAAUUCCUUCGGGGAGUGUGACUAGUAAAACCAAUGAGAAGGCAAACACAAAGUUAGAUAGCAAAUUCAAUCUGAAAGAAAGCCAUUCCAUUGCUGACACAUUGUGAAACCAUGGCCUUGAGUGGUUGUCAACAAGAUCAAGGUUUCCACCAAAGAAGCGAUUUUCUUGAUCAAAAGCACGGAUUGUUGCAGCUCCUGCUAGUGAUUCGGCAAAGUGAUGGAGGAUUGGUGCUCGUUCAAUACCUGUUAAGCGGGCCAGUUCUCUCGCUGUUGGUAUGUAAUAUUGCUGAAAUAAUCACAAUUAACCAUUGAUCAGAAUCAACAGGGGCCAACCAGGGCUCAGGGAGGGGGUAGAGAGAUAGAGGUCAUCCAAAGCUAUUUAGAAACUCUGAAUUUCUUUACGUAGUGUAAAAAUGGAACAAUAGUUGAUUAUAAGUUUUCAAGACAUUUUUUAUGGCUGUUUUUAUCAUUCAUCAUUCUAAUUCUUUUUCCCUGCUGGCAGCAUAGUUCUCGUUAAUAAACAUGAUGAAUAUUCAGAUUGGUUUAGAAGUCAAGUUUUUUUCCCCUCAUCAUUGUUCCCAUAUAUGAAGUAAUCAUCUCUGGUACGUCUAGAAUAUGAAAGAAAGACUCUUACUUGGUACCAUAUGCAGAUUGCCGUUACUGGAAUGAAGAUGACAAAUACUUCCCAUGCCACUUGUGACAUCACUGCAAUAGUUCCUAGAAGUUGUAUUAUUGAGAAAGCACACCAACCUACUCUUCCUGCCAAUUCCAAGUCCAGCACACUCUGAUCAGUAGAUGCCUGCAAGUAAUGUAACUUAAGGCUGUCAGUCUUCUUGAAUUAUAUUGUUUUGGAAUUAUACAAUGUGUAGGCUGUGACUAGUAGGUUUUUUUGUUAUUUACCAGCUUACAAGGUGAGGAAGCAAGAACUUUCCUCUUUAGUAUGCUCUCUCUUGAAAGCAAAAACUUGUUGUAUAUAACCCUUACAAAAUUUUAAUUGCAAAAAUCACUUUGUUUUUUUUUU